rnacentral:lncRNA from 1 species
GAAAGAGGAAUUGUGCUGCAGCCUACUUUAGGGAUCCUGCAUUAGCAGGGUUGUUGGACUAGAUGGUCCAGAGGUCCUUUCCAAGCCCUGUGAUUCUGUGGUUAUCUUUAAUUUGAGGACAAGAAGCCAGAAUUCCUCUGUCAACGAACAGCCCAAAAUGUCAAAUGUUGGUGGUAUAGCUGCAGAGGUGGAACAAUCCCAUCAAGAUUCCAUCACACUUUGUUGCUGUGCAACAAAUGGCAGCAGAAGGCCAGUAUGACAAAAUGGCAGUUGAUAUGGAAGUAUGUAUGAAGCAACGGUGUGCUACUGAAAUACUCCAUGUGGAAAAAAUGGCAUCCACUGACAUUCAUCAAUGCUUGCUGAACGUUUCUAAAGACAAAACAGAUGCAAAGAGCCUUCUGCUUUGCUGAAGGAAAGACAGCAAGAAUGAUCCCCACCUCAGAACAUCGCAAACACAGCAGCUGUGGCUCAUUCUGGUCCAGAGCAAAAAGCAAACCCUUAGCACCCUGGCAGUUCAAGGUGCCUCUUUCACCUCCCGGAUAGAUGCCCUAAUCACAGCCUACCUCAAUUAUCAUGGAGUCGUUCCAGUCUCUCUAUAAGCAAUUUCAUUUUCAUCAGGACAAUGACAUGAACCACAAGCUGCCACCAAAAGUAACUUUCCUAGCCACAGUACCCCCAAGUUAUAUUUUAUUCAGAAUGCAGAAUUGUUUAUAGAAAUUUAAACAGCUCCAAUAAAAAUGACUGCAAGAACAAGACUGACUCUGUAGCCUCUAGACAGC